rnacentral:rRNA from 1 species
AUUGAACGCUGGCGGCAGGCUUAACACAUGCAAGUCGAGCGGUAGCACAGGGGAGCUUGCUCCCUGGGUGACGAGCGGCGGACGGGUGAGUAAUGUCUGGGAAACUGCCUGAUGGAGGGGAAUAACUACUGGAAACGGUAGCUAAUACCGCAUAACGUCGCAAGACCAAAGAGGGGGACCUUCGGGCCUCUUGCCAUCAGAUGUGCCCAGAUGGGAUUAGCUAGUAGGUGGGGUAAUGGCUCACCUAGGCGACGAUCCCUAGCUGGUCUGAGAGGAUGACCAGCCACACGGGAACUGAGACACGGUCCAGCCUCCUAGGGGAGGCAGCAGGGGGGAAUAUUGAACAAUGGGCGCAAGCCUGAUGCAGCCAUGCCGGGUGUGUGAAGAAGGCUUUCGGGUUGUAAAGCACUUUCAGCGAGGAGGAAGGUGGUGAGCUUAAUACGUUCAUCAAUUGACGUUACUCGCAGAAGAAGCACCGGCUAACUCCGUG